AAAUGGAGAACAGGAUCGCGGAAACCAUUUUGCCCACUGGCUCGCAUUGGCAGUGCCGGAGCAAGGCUGCAGGAGGAAGCCCUGGGCAGCGGUAUGUGACGCAGGUGGCCACGCAUCAAUUCCAGUUGUGUUCAAAGCCAGCGGCCCUGUUUUCUCAGGUGCUGUGGCUUGGAAGAAAACUGGAUAUGCAGGAACCCAGGAUGAGGAAAAGUCAUAUGCUCACUCCUCUGGCCCUCUCUUCAAGUCUUCAGAUUGAUCUAGGCAGUCCACUGCUCUCUCUGUCCUUUCCUCAGAGAGUUGAGGCCAUCUAGAAGUGUGGAAUAGAUGGGAGACAAGACAACAUGGCAUUAUUUUCAUAAU